UUGUUGCUUCUGCGGGCCCGGCUUAACUGGCCGCCGGGGGGCUUACGCCCCCGGGCCCGCGCCCGCCGAAUACACCCUCGAACUCUGUCUGAAGAUUGAAGUCUGAGUGAAAAUAUAAAUUAUUUAAAACUUUCAACAACGGAUCUCUUGGUUCCGGCAUCGAUGAAGAACGCAGCGAAAUGCGAUACGUAAUGUGAAUUGCAAAUUCAGUGAAUCAUCGAGUCUUUGAACGCACAUUGCGCCCCCUGGUAUUCCGGGGGGCAUGCCUGUCCGAGCGUCAUUGCUGCCCUCAAGCCCGGCUUGUGUGUUGGGCCCCGUCCCCCUAUCUCCGGGGGACGGGCCCAAAAGGCAGCGGCGGCACCGCGUCCGGUCCUCGAGCGUA
rnacentral:misc_RNA from 1 species